UACGUAGGGGGCAAGCGUUGUCCGGAUUUAUUGGGCGUAAAGCGCGCGUAGGCGGCGCGGUAUGUCGUGCGUGAAAUCUCCCGGCUUAACUGGGAGGGGCCGUGCGAAACUGCCGGGCUUGAGGUCGGAAGGGGAAAGUGGAAUUCCGGGUGUAGUGGUGGAAUACGUAGAUAUCCGGAGGAACACCAGCGGCGAAGGCGGCUUUCUGGUCCGAUACUGACGCUGAGGUGCGAAAGCGUGGGGAGCGAUC
rnacentral:rRNA from 1 species